rnacentral:rRNA from 1 species
GAACCUGGCUCAGGAUGAACGCUAGCUACAGGCUUAACACAUGCAAGUCGAGGGGCAGCAUGAACUUAGCUUGCUAAGUUUGAUGGCGACCGGCGCACGGGUGAGUAACACGUAUCCAACCUGCCGAUGACUCGGGGAUAGCCUUUCGAAAGAAAGAUUAAUACCCGAUGGCAUAGUUCUUCCGCAUGGUGGAACUAUUAAAGAAUUUCGGUCAUCGAUGGGGAUGCGUUCCAUUAGGUUG